AAGUCGUAACAAGGUUUCCGUAGGUGAACCUGCGGAAGGAUCAUUAAAAAGGAUAUCCGGGCAACCGGGUAGACCCCACCCGCUGUCUCAUUCUACUCUUGUUGCUUUGGCAGGGCCGUGGCCUCCACCGUGGGCUCUGCCUGCGCGUGCCUGCCGGAGGACCAAACUCUGAAUUUUUAGUGAUGUCUGAGUACUAUAUAAUAGUUAAAA
rnacentral:misc_RNA from 1 species